AGUGUGAGGUAAUACAGUAGGGGGAGUGUGAGGUAAUACAGUAGGGGGAGGUAAUACAGUAGGGGGAGUGUGAGGUAAUACAGUAGGGGGAGUGUGAGGUAAUACAGUAGGGAGAGUGGGAGGUAAUACAGUAGGGGGAGUGUGAGGUAAUACAGUAGGGGGAGUGGGAGGUAAUACAAUAGGGAAGGUGAGGUAAUACAGUAGGGGGUGUGAGGUAAUACAGUAGGGGGUGUGUGAGGUAAUACAGUAGGGGGAGUGUGAGGUAAUACAGUAGGGGGAGUGUGAGGUAAUACAGUAGGGGAAGGUAAUACAGUAGGGGGUGUGUAAUACAGUAGGGGGAGUGUGAGGUAAUACAGUAGGGGGAAUGUGAGGUAAUACAGUAGGGGGAAGGUAAUACAGUAGGGGGUGUGCGAGUGCCUCUCAAAUGGAAUGUUUUAUGCGUUUCUUCACAAGAACGUACUCAAUAGAACGUCGUCGGAGAAUGCACUCGGGACAUGACAGUGUGGAGCGCGGUAGUACGCAUGUUGAGAAACACCCAAGGACUCGGGA
ensembl:lncRNA